rnacentral:rRNA from 1 species
CCUACGGGGGGCAGCAGUGGGGGAUAUUGCACAAUGGGCGGAAGCCUGAUGCAGCGACGCCGCGUGGGGGAUGACGGCUUUCGGGUUGUAAACCUCUUUCGCUGGGGAACAAGGCCUCCAAGUUUUCUUGGGGUUGAGGGUACCUGGAUAAGAAGCGCCGGCUAACUACGUGCCAGCAGCCGCGGUAAUACGUAGGGCGCGAGCGUUGUCCGGAAUUAUUGGGCGUAAAGAGCUUGUAGGCGGCUUGUUGCGCCUGCUGUGAAAACUUGGGGCUUAACCCUGAGCGUGCAGUGGGUACGGGCAGGCUAGAGUGUGGUAGGGGUGAUUGGAACUCCAGGUGUAGCGGUGGAAUGCGCAGAUAUCUGGAAGAACACCGAUGGCGAAGGCAGGUCACUGGGCCAUUACUGACGCUGAGAAGCGAAAGCGUGGGGAGCGAACAGGAUUAGAUACCCCUGUAGUC